rnacentral:rRNA from 1 species
UGUUGUAGGUUUACCUUAAUGGCACCAGAUCCCACCUGAUUUUGGAAGUUAAGAAGGGUCAACUCUGAUUAAUAUUUGGAUGGGAAAUCGCCAAUGAAGACCAACGACCUCAUCAC